AAUUUAAAAUAGUAGCCGCUGUUAGUACUCUCUGUCAUUGUAUGUCAUUAUUUACUUUAUUGUUUAAAAUUCUGUGUAUUUGAAAAAUCAAAAGAUGCAUAUUGACGAAGAGUUUAAUUUAACUCCACCAAAAGUGGCAGAAACUGCAAAUAAAAUACCUUUAAGUUUACUGCCUAAAAAAAGCAGAGUGUUGUACGAAAAAACAUACGCUGAAUUUAUUGCAUGGUGUGACGAGAGAAAAAUAAUACGAUAUUCAGAAUCUGUAUUGUUAUUUUUCAAACAUUGCCGAAAAAGGACUAAUAUCAAGUUUGUGGCCCAAAUAUUCGAUGCUAAAAUCAACCUUAAGUUUAAAAUCAAACAUUGAUAUACCUAAAUAUAAUAAGUUAAUUAUGUUUAUCGAGAAAAAAAGAACAGGUUAUGCACCAAAGAAAUCAAAAACACUUGAAAAAGAAUAAGUCUAGAAAUUCAUCUCUGAUGCUCCUAACGACGUGUUUCUAAUGAUAAAGGUUGCAUUGAUUUUCGGAGUGGCUGGUGCGUUAAGAAAUGACGAACUAUUGAAAUUAGAAACAAAUAACGUUCAAGACUUGGGGUCAAAGUUCCUUGUCACAAUAAAAGCAUCAAAAACACACACAAAUAGAAUAUUUACCAUAGUAGAUAACGAAGCAGAUACCAUUCUCAAUGCGAUCAAAAACUAUAUUUCUUUAAGACCGGCACACACACCACAUAAACGAUUUUUCAUUUUUUUAUAAAAAUUACAAAUGUUCCACACAGCCAGUUGGCAUAAAUACGUUUUCCAAAAUUCCUUCCGUUAUUGCUAAAUUCUUGAAAUUAGAGCACCUGCAUCUCUACACUGGGCAUUGUUUUAGACGUUCCUCUGCCUAAAUACUGUGUGACAGUGGUGCAGACUUUUCAGCUAUUAAAAGCCUAGGAGGCUGGAAAUCGACUGCUGUAGCAGAAGUUUAUAUAGAUAAUUCUAUGCAGAAUAAACUUAAGACGGCUGAAAAACUCUUGGGACAAAAUACCACUAAACCUUGUCAAAGUACUUUCUUCAGCACCACCGCUUCUUCUUCUAUCACAGAAUUUACGGAGGUCCAAGAAGACUUAAAUAUAAACUUAUCAAAAUGCUAUACAACUGAUAAUCAUUUAUCAAUACCUUCCUUUAAUUUCAGUAAUUGUACUAUUUCGAAUAUUAAUGUUAACAAUAAUAAAACUACCACUAAGGAAAAUUAAACUUUGAAUAAAGUUAAUGAAAGCUGAAAAA
rnacentral:lncRNA from 1 species